UUAGGUCAUCUGUUGAUUGAGGAAGCAUGAUAGGAAACUUGGGAAGAGCAAUGACUUGAGGUUUGGAAUAGCACCUGAGUCAUGGAAAAGGAAGCCAACCAAGCAAGAGUGAAAGGAUCGCCAAGUAGUGCUAAAGGUCAAGAAGUUUGACUUCUCCAUCAAUGCCAUCUUCUCUCUUGGUAGUUCCAUGGAAAAAAUGAGGAGUGAACAUGCUCACCUCCUGAUUUUCACAGUGACAAACAGGAAGCAAGGCCAUCAGCUAACAGUGAGGGGGAAGAGCUGGAAUUAUGAAGAGUUGCGACAGCCCAGGAGAGUGGGAGAGUGAAAGGACUUAAGAAACAUAGUGGCUUUGUCAUUCAUUGAGGCUAAUUGUAAGCUUCAGGAUACAAAAAGAAAAAAAAAUCAAGCAAACACCAUGCAUUAACAAAUCCUGGCUAAAGCAAGAGCGGGCAGGCACCUGGAUGUCUGUUAACUAGCUGCGCCUCAGAACUCCUGCAGAGGGUUAUGAGACUGGAUCUGAUGCACUUGUGACUCUACUCACAGAUGACAAUGGGGAACCCCUGCAGAUGGCAGCAGCACUUCAAAUUUCACCAGCCAGGAAGGGCCUGUGGUUCAUACAACCAGAAAUCAAAAGACGCCGGCAGAAUCCUUAUCCCAGUCCCUGUGUCCUGACCAUUUCCAGCCACUAUUCCAGAUUCCAAUUUUUUACAGCUUCAAGUCCUGCACAGCGUAGAGCAUGGACAGAAGGAAAUAAAGCCAAGGAAUGUC